AUUGAACGCUGGCGGCAGGCCUAACACAUGCAAGUCGAGCGAGCGGCGGACGGGUGAGUAAUGUCUGGGAAACUGCCUGAUGGAGGGGGAUAACUACUGGAAAAGGUAGCUAAUACCGCAUACCAUCAGAUGUGCCCAGAUGGGAUUAGCUAGUAGGUUGGGUAACGGCUCACCUAGGCGACGAUCCCUAGUUGGUCUGAGAGGAUGACCAGCAACACUGAAACUGAGACACGGUCCGGACUCCGACGGGAGGCAGCAGUGGGGAAUAUUGCGCAAUGGGCGCAAGCCUGAUACAGCCAUGCCGCGUGUGUGAUGAAGGCCUUCGGGUUGUAAAGCACUUUGAGCGGGGAGGCGUUACCCGCAGAAGAAGCACCGGCUAACUCCGUGCCAGCAGCCGCGGUAAUUA
rnacentral:rRNA from 1 species